rnacentral:misc_RNA from 1 species
CACGUCACGAAAGUCGGUNACACCCAAAGUCAGUGGCCCAACCGCAAGGAGGGAGCUGCCUAAGGUGGGAUCGGUGAUUGGGACGAAGUCGUAACAAGGUAGCCGUACCGGAAGGUGCGGCUGGAUCACCUCCUUUCUAAGGAGCCUGCCAAAAGCAGAUGCUCAUAAGAUAAGUGGAGCAUUGAUUUUUGAAUCUCAUCAAAACGAAUCAUUAGUACAACUCAAUUAUUAAUUUAUUAAUCAUUGAGAGUGGAAAAAAUCUUGUAGCGAAAUGUUUCAUGCACGUUGUUGGGUCCUGAGGGUACGAACCCUCUGGCCCUAGUGAGCAAGUCGAACUGAUUAAAUUUAUUUAAUUAAGCGGCUAACGUUCCUAGGUUCGCCCGUAUCUUGAGAACUACACAGUGAACGCGAGCAUCUUUGUUUUAAAAGCAAAAAAAUGUAAGAAAAUUAUUAAGUGCAAAUGGCGGAUGCCUAGGCACCAGAAGCCGAAGAAGGUCGUAUGAGGCUGCGAAAAGCCUCGGGGAGCUGCCAACAGAGCUUUGAUCCGAGGAUUA